UACGAAGGGGGCUAGCGUUGUUCGGAAUCACUGGGCGUAAAGCGCACGCAGGCGGAUUGAUAAGUCAGGGGUGAAAUCCUGGAGCUCAACUCCAGAACUGCCUUUGAUACUGAGAGCUUGAGUCCGGGAGAGGUGAGUGGAACUGCGAGUGUAGAGGUGAAAUUCGUAGAUAUUCGCAAGAACACCAGUGGCGAAGGCGGCUCACUGGCCCGGUACUGACGCUGAGGUGCGAAAGCGUGGGGAGCAAACAGG
rnacentral:rRNA from 1 species